rnacentral:rRNA from 1 species
GGCGAACGCUGGCGGCGUGCUUAACACAUGCAAGUCGAACGGAAAGGCCCUGCUUUUGUGGGGUUCUCGGUUGGCGAACGGGUGAGUAACACGUGAGUAACCUGCCCUUGACUUUGGGAUAACUUCAGGAAACUGGGGCUAAUACCGUAUAGGAGCUCCUGCUGCAUGGUGGGGGUUGGAAAGUUUCGGCGGUUGGGGAUGGACUCGCGGAUUAUCAGCUUGUUGGUGGGGGAGUGGCUUACCAAGGCGUUGACGGGUAGCCGGCCGGAGAGGGUGACCGGCACCAUUGGGACUGAGAUACGGCCCAGACUCCUACGGGAGGCAGCAGUGGGGAAUAUUGAACAAUGGGCGGAAGCCUGAUGCAGCAACGCCGCGUGCGGGAUGACGGCCUUCGGGUUGUAAACCGCUUUCGCCUGUGACGAAGCGUGAGUGACGGUAAUGGGUAAAGAAGCACCGGCUAACUACGUG